rnacentral:rRNA from 1 species
UACAGGGGGGGCAAGCGUUGUUCGGAAUUACUGGGCGUAAAGGGUUCGUAGGUGGCCACCUAAGUCAGACGUGAAAUCCCUCAGCUUAACUGGGGAACUGCGUCUGAUACUGGGUGGCUUGAGUGCAGGAGAGGAACGCGGAAUUCCAGGUGUAGCGGUGAAAUGCGUAGAUAUCUGGAGGAACACCGGUGGCGAAGGCGGCAUUCUGGACUGUAACUGACACUGAGGAACGAAAGCCAGGGGAGCAAACGGG